rnacentral:rRNA from 1 species
CGGGACACGUGGUAUCCUGUCUGAAUAUGGGGGGACCAUCCUCCAAGGCUAAAUACUCCUGACUGACCGAUAGUGAACCAGUACCGUGAGGGAAAGGCGAAAAGAACCCCGGCGAGGGGAGUGAAAAAGAACCUGAAACCGUGUACGUACAAGCAGUGGGAGCACGCUUAGGCGUGUGACUGCGUACCUUUUGUAUAAUGGGUCAGCGACUUAUAUUCUGUAGCAAGGUUAACCGAAUAGGGGAGCCGAAGGGAAACCGAGUCUUAACUGGGCGUUAAGUUGCAGGGUAUAGACCCGAAACCCGGUGAUCUAGCCAUGGGCAGGUUGAAGGUUGGGUAACACUAACUGGAGGACCGAACCGACUAAUGUUGAAAAAUUAGCGGAUGACUUGUGGCUGGGGGUGAAAGGCCAAUCAAACCGGGAGAUAGCUGGUUCUCCCCGAAAGCUAUUUAGGUAGCGCCUCGUGAAUUCAUCUCCGGGGGUAGAGCACUGUUUCGGCAAGGGGGUCAUCCCGACUUACCAACCCGAUGCAAACUGCGAAUACCGGAGAAUGUUAUCACGGGAGACACACGGCGGGUGCUAACGUCCGUCGUGAAGAGGGAAACAACCCAGACCGCCAGCUAAGGUCCCAAAGUCAUGGUUAAGUGGGAAACGAUGUGGGAAGGCCCAGACAGCCAGGAUGUUGGCUUAGAAGCAGCCAUCAUUUAAAGAAAGCGUAAUAGCUCACUGGUCGAGUCGGCCUGCGCGGAAGAUGUAACGGGGCUAAACCAUGCACCGAAGCUGCGGCAGCGACGCUGAUGCGUUGUUGGGUAGGGGAGCGUUCUGUAAGCCUGUGAAGGUGUGCUGUGAGGCAUGCUGGAGGUAUCAGAAGUGCGAAUGCUGACAUAAGUAACGAUAAAGCGGGUGAAAAGCCCGCUCGCCGGAAGACCAAGGGUUCCUGUCCAACGUUAAUCGGGGCAGGGUGAGUCGACCCCUAAGGCGAGGCCGAAAGGCGUAGUCGAUGGGAAACAGGUUAAUAUUCCUGUACUUGGUGUUACUGCGAAGGGGGGACGGAGAAGGCUAUGUUGGCCGGGCGACGGUUGUCCCGGUUUAAGCGUGUAGGCUGGUUUUCCAGGCAAAUCCGGAAAAUCAAGGCUGAGGCGUGAUGACGAGGCACUACGGUGCUGAAGCAACAAAUGCCCUGCUUCCAGGAAAAGCCUCUAAGCAUCAGGUAACAUCAAAUCGUACCCCAAACCGACACAGGUGGUCAGGUAGAGAAUACCAAGGCGCUUGAGAGAACUCGGGUGAAGGAACUAGGCAAAAUGGUGCCGUAACUUCGGGAGAAGGCACGCUGAUAUGUAGGUGAAGUCCCUCGCGGAUGGAGCUGAAAUCAGUCGAAGAUACCAGCUGGCUGCAACUGUUUAUUAAAAACACAGCACUGUGCAAACACGAAAGUGGACGUAUACGGUGUGACGCCUGCCCGGUGCCGGAAGGUUAAUUGAUGGGGUCAGCGCAAGCGAAGCUCUUGAUCGAAGCCCCGGUAAACGGCGGCCGUAACUAUAACGGUCCUAAGGUAGCGAAAUUCCUUGUCGGGUAAGUUCCGACCUGCACGAAUGGCGUAAUGAUGGCCAGGCUGUCUCCACCCGAGACUCAGUGAAAUUGAACUCGCUGUGAAGAUGCAGUGUACCCGCGGCAAGACGGAAAGACCCCGUGAACCUUUACUAUAGCUUGACACUGAACAUUGAGCCUUGAUGUGUAGGAUAGGUGGGAGGCUUUGAAGUGUGGACGCCAGUCUGCAUGGAGCCGGCCUUGAAAUACCACCCUUUAAUGUUUGAUGUUCUAACGUUGACCCGUGAUCCGGGUUGCGGACAGUGUCUGGUGGGUAGUUUGACUGGGGCGGUCUCCUCCUAAAGAGUAACGGAGGAGCACGAAGGUUGGCUAAUCCUGGUCGGACAUCAGGAGGUUAGUGCAAUGGCAUAAGCCAGCUUGACUGCGAGCGUGACGGCGCGAGCAGGUGCGAAAGCAGGUCAUAGUGAUCCGGUGGUUCUGAAUGGAAGGGCCAUCGCUCAACGGAUAAAAGGUACUCCGGGGAUAACAGGCUGAUACCGCCCAAGAGUUCAUAUCGACGGCGGUGUUUGGCACCUCGAUGUCGGCUCAUCACAUCCUGGGGCUGAAGUAGGUCCCAAGGGUAUGGCUGUUCGCCAUUUAAAGUGGUACGCGAGCUGGGUUUAGAACGUCGUGAGACAGUUCGGUCCCUAUCUGCCGUGGGCGCUGGAGAACUGAGGGGGGCUGCUCCUAGUACGAGAGGACCGGAGUGGACGCAUCACUGGUGUUCGGGUUGUCAUGCCAAUGGCACUGCCCGGUAGCUAAAUGCGGAAGAGAUAAGUGCUGAAAGCAUCUAAGCACGAAACUUGCCCCGAGAUGAGUUCUCCCUGACUCCUUGAGAGUCCUGAAGGAACGUUGAAGACGACGACGUUGAUAGGCCGGGUGUGUAAGCGCAGCGAUGCGUUGAGCUAACCGGUACUAAUGAACCGUGAGGCUUAACCUU